rfam:Candidatus Sungbacteria bacterium RIFCSPLOWO2_01_FTLL_47_10 rifcsplowo2_01_scaffold_64315, whole genome shotgun sequence.
CCCCCUGUAGCUCAACGGACAGAGCAGCGCUCUUCUAAGGCGUUGAUAGGGGUUCGAUUCCUCUCAGGGGGA